GAUGAACGCUGGCGGCGUGCCUAAUACAUGCAAGUCGAGCGAACAGACGAGGAGCUUGCUCCCCUGACGUUAGCGGCGGACGGGUGAGUAACACGUGGAUAACCUACCUCUAAGACUGGGAUAACUUCGGGAAACCGGAGCUAAUACCGGAUAAUAUAUUGAACCGCAUGGAUCAAUAGUGAAAGACGGUUUUGCUGUCACUUAUAGAUGGAUCCGCGUCGCAUUAGCUAGUUGGUAAGGUAACGGCUUACCAAGGCAACGAUGCGUAGCCGACCUGAGAGGGUGAUCAGCCACACUGGAACUGAGACACGGUCCAGACUCCUACGGGAGGCAGCAGUAGGGAAUCUUCCGCAAUGGGCGAAAGCCUGACGGAGCAACGCCGCGUGAGUGAUGAAGGUCUUCGGAUCGUAAAACUCUGUUAUUAGGGAAGAACAAAUGUGUAAGUAACUAUGCACGUCUUGACGGUACCUAAUCAGAAAGCCACGGCUAACUACGUG
rnacentral:rRNA from 1 species